AUUGAACGCUAGCGGGAUGCUUUACACAUGCAAGUCGAACGAGUGGCGGACGGGUGAGUAAUAUAUCGGAACGUGCCCAGUAGCGGGGGAUAACUACUCGAAAGAGUGGCUAAUACCGCAUACUGUUGUCGCGGCCGUUAUUGGAUUGGCUAGUUGGUGGGGUAAAGGCUAACCAAGGCAACGAUCCGUAGCUGGUUUGAGAGGACGACCAGCCACACUGGGACUGAGACACGGCCCAGACUCCUACGGGAGGCAGCAGUGGGGAAUGUUGGGCAAUGGGGGAAACCCUGAUCGAGCCAUCCCGCGUGAGUGAGAAGGCCUUCGGGUUGUAAAGUACUUUUGGCAGAGAAGCGGUAUCUGAAGAGUAAGCACCGGCUAACUACGUGCCAGCCGCCGCGGUAAUUC
rnacentral:rRNA from 1 species